CGAACGGCAGCACGGGAGCUUGCUCCUGGUGGCGAGUGGCGAACGGGUGAGUAAUGCGUCGGAACGUACCGAGUAAUGGGGGAUAACGCGGCGAAAGUCGCGCUAAUACCGCAUACGCCCUGAGGGGGAAAGCGGGGGAUCGCAAGACCUCGCGUUAUUCGAGCGGCCGACGUCUGAUUAGCUAGUUGGUGGGGUAAAGGCUCACCAAGGCGACGAUCAGUAGCGGGUCUGAGAGGAUGAUCCGCCACACUGGGACUGAGACACGGCCCAGACUCCUACGGGAGGCAGCAGUGGGGAAUUUUGGACAAUGGGGGCAACCCUGAUCCAGCCAUUCCGCGUGAGUGAAGAAGGCCUUCGGGUUGUAAAGCUCUUUCAGCUGGAGCGAAACGGUACGCUCUAACAUAGCGUGCUACUGACGGUACCAGCAGAAGAAGCACCGGCUAACUACGUGCCAGCAGCCGCGGUAAUACGUAGGGUGCGAGCGUUAAUCGGAAUUACUGGGCGUAAAGCGUGCGCAGGCGGAUUGUUAAGCAAGACGUGAAAUCCCCGGGCUUAACCUGGGAAU
rnacentral:rRNA from 1 species